rnacentral:rRNA from 1 species
GAUGAACGCUGGCGGCGUGCUUAACACAUGCAAGUCGAGCGGGCAAUUUAUCUAGCACUGAUUACUUCAAAUGGAAAUCAUAAGUGUAAUCAUGAAUUUCUACCUUUAAUAAAGAAAAAGAAAUUCAUGUACGCAAAUAGUGAUAACACAUUUUAGUGGAGUGAUGAGUGCUGGAUAAAUUGCUAGCGGCGGACGGAUGCGUAACACGUGGGUAACCUGCCCCUAUCACUGGGAUAACACACUGAAAAGUGUGCUAAUACCAGAUAAUAUAAGCUUUUGGCAUCAUUAGCUUAUCAAAGAAUUUCGGAUAGGGAUGGGCCCGCGUCUGAUUAGCUAGUUGGUGAGGUAACGGCUCACCAAGGCAACGAUCAGUAGCCGACCUGAGAGGGUGAUCGGCCACACUGGAACUGAGACACGGUCCAGACUCCUACGGGAGGCAGCAGUGGGGAAUAUUGCACAAUGGGC